rnacentral:rRNA from 1 species
GUUUGGAACAGCCGGACAAUUGGUGAGUUGUUGGCGCUCGCUCAAGCCAAUGCCCCCAAGCUUGUCUUCUUAUGUGAAACUAGGCAAGCUUUCAGUUCGGUUGAAAGGUUGAAAUGCAAACUAGGUAGGAGAGGAUUAUGUGGAGUAGAUGGGCAAGGGCUCGGCGGUGGUCUUGCUCUGUUUUAGGAUGAAUCGUUGCAAGUAAAUAUUUUUGAUAAAUGUGACAGAUACAUUGAUGUGCACAUGGUUGACCCUGGGAAUGCUACUAAUAGGAACUACAUAUGUAUAUGGCGAGCCACGAACGUAAAAUAG